AUUGAACGCUGGCGGAAUGCUUUACACAUGCAAGUCGAACGGUAGAGGGGGCAACCCCUUGAGAGUGGCGAACGGGUGAGUAAUAUAUCGGAACGUGCCCAGUCGUGGGGAUAACGUAGCGAAAGUUACGCUAAUACCGCAUACGAUCUAAGGAUGAAAGCGGGGGAUCGCAAGACCUCGCGCGAUUGGAGCGGCCGAUAUCAGAUUAGGUAGUUGGUGAGGUAAAGGCUCACCAAGCCAACGAUCUGUAGCUGGUCUGAGAGGACGACCAGCCACACUGGAACUGAGACACGGUCCAGACUCCUACGGGAGGCAGCAGUGGGGAAUAUUGGACAAUGGGCGAAAGCCUGAUCCAGCCAUGCCGCGUGUGUGAAGAAGGUCUUCGGAUUGUAAAGCACUUUAAGUUGGGAGGUAAGGGUAGGUAACCUAAUAACGUUGCUACUUUGACGUUACCGACAGAAUAAGCACCGGCUAACUUACGUGCCAGCAG
rnacentral:rRNA from 1 species